CCUACGGGUGGCAGCAGUGGGGAAUAUUGGACAAUGGGGGCAACCCUGAUCCAGCCAUGCCGCGUGUGUGAAGAAGGCCCUCGGGUUGUAAAGCACUUUCAGUGAGGAAGAACGCCUGGUGGUUAAUACCCAUCAGGAAAGACAUCACUCACAGAAGAAGCACCGGCUAACUCCGUGCCAGCAGCCGCGGUAAUACGGAGGGUGCGAGCGUUAAUCGGAAUUACUGGGCGUAAAGCGCGCGUAGGUGACUUGAUAAGCCGGUUGUGAAAGCCCCGGGCUCAACCUGGGAACGGCAUCCGGAACUGUCAAGCUAGAGUGCAGGAGAGGAAGGUAGAAUUCCCGGUGUAGCGGUGAAAUGCGUAGAGAUCGGGAGGAAUACCAGUGGCGAAGGCGGCCUUCUGGACUGACACUGACACUGAGGUGCGAAAGCGUGGGUAGCAAACAGGAUUAGAUACCCUAGUAGUC
rnacentral:rRNA from 1 species